rnacentral:rRNA from 1 species
CCCUUAGAUGUUCUGGGCCGCUCGCGCGCUACACUGACGAUGGCAACGAGUUUUUCCUUCGCCGAAAGGUGUGGGUAAUCUUUUGAAACAUCGUCGUGCUGGGGAUAGAUCAUUGCAAUUUUUGAUCUUGAACGAGGAAUUCCUAGUAAGCGCGAGUCAUCAGCUCGCGUUGAUUACGUCCCUGCCCUUUGUACACACCGCCCGUCGCUACUACCGAUUGAAUGGUUUAGUGAGGACUCCUGAUUGGCGCCGCCGCCCCGGCAACGGAGCAGCGGACUGCCGAAAAGUUGUUCAAACUUGAUCAUUUAGAGGAAGUAAAAGUCGUAACA